rnacentral:tRNA from 1 species
GCACCCGUAGCUCAAGUGGUUAGAGCGCAUGCCUUAUAAGCGUGAGGUUGUUGGUUCAACUCCAACCGGGUGCA